rnacentral:ncRNA from 1 species
UUGUCAAUUUUUGUUGUAAGGUUUUGAAGGUUUGAUUAUAGUCUGGGUUGAGUUAAAAUAGUGUUAUCUAGUUAUGAUUCAUUUUGUAGGCAAUGUAGUUUGACCUUGGUAUAUUAUCGUUUGUAUAUUAUCUGUUCCAGAAUAAUCGGCUAGACGGAUUAAAUUAGAACUCUAAUUGUUUUUAUAUUAAGUUUUUAUUCUUUUGUUGUUAUGAUUCUAGGGUGAAAUUUGGAAUUUUUUUUUUAUUUGGCUUAAUUUAUGAGAUUUAGGUGAUGAACCAGAUUAGUACCUGGGUAAUUAAAAUUGAUAAUAGCAGGAGUAAAGUGUUGUUUAAACUGAAAUAAUAUUGGCAGGUUUUUAAAUUAUCUUUGAAGGUUGGACUGUAAUUGAGAGCCCUCAUUUUCUGCUUUAACUUUUGUUUUAUGUAUGAUCGCUCAUCUUAUUCUUGAGGAUUGUGAUGUUAAUUUUUUUGUUGUAAGAGCAGAUAUUUACUUAGUUUAUGUUAAAGGUUGUUCUGACCUACAAUAUUUGAGAAUGUGGAUUAGAAGUUUUGUGAUUUUUAUGAAAAUGUAAAAGACAGUAAGUUGAUUUUUAUGGUUGACUGAAGAUUAUUUGAGAACGGUACAAAUCAUCCAUCAAUUGCCCACAGGGGAGUAAGUUGUAGUAAAGUAGAGUUAGGGGAACCUGUCUCUAGUAGUUA